rnacentral:rRNA from 1 species
GUGGGGAAUCUUCCGCAAUGGACGAAAGUCUGACGGAGCAACGCCGCGUGAGUGAAGAAGGUUUUCGGAUCGUAAAGCUCUUUCGUUAGGGACGAACGUGCUCUUUGUGAAUAAUGAGGAGUAAUGACGGUACCUAAAUAAGAAGCCACGGCCAACUACGUGCCAGCAGCCGCGGUAAUACGUAGGUGGCAAGCGUUGUCCGGAAUUAUUGGGCGUAAAGCGCGCGCAGGCGGGAUAUCAAGUCUGUCUUAAAAGUGCGAGGCUCAACCUCGUGAGGGGACAGAAACUGGUAUUCUUGAGUGUCGGAGAGGAAAGUGGAAUUCCAAGUGUAGCGGUGAAAUGCGUAGAGAUUUGGAAGAACACCAGUGGCGAAGGCGACUUUCUGGACGAUGUCUGACGCUGAGGCGCGAAAGCUAGGGGAGCGAACGGGAUUAGAUACCCCGGUAGUCC